rnacentral:rRNA from 1 species
UGCAGUCGAACGAUGAAGCCCAGCUUGCUGGGUGGAUUAGUGGCGAACGGGUGAGUAACACGUGAGCAACCUGCCCCUGACUCUGGGAUAAGCGCUGGAAACGGCGUCUAAUACUGGAUACGAGUAGCGAUCGCAUGGUCAGUUACUGGAAAGAUUUUUUGGUUGGGGAUGGGCUCGCGGCCUAUCAGCUUGUUGGUGAGGUAAUGGCUCACCAAGGCGUCGACGGGUAGCCGGCCUGAGAGGGUGACCGGCCACACUGGGACUGAGACACGGCCCAGACUCCUACGGGAGGCAGCAGUGGGGAAUAUUGCACAAUGGGCGGAAGCCUGAUGCAGCAACGCCGCGUGAGGGAUGACGGCCUUCGGGUUGUAAACCUCUUUUAGCAGGGAAGAAGCGAAAGUGACGGUACCUGCAGAAAAAGCGCCGGCUAACUACGUGCCAGCAGCCGCGGUAAUACGUAGGGCGCAAGCGUUAUCCGGAAUUAUUGGGCGUAAAGAGCUCGUAGGCGGUUUGUCGCGUCUGCUGUGAAAUCCCGAGGCUCAACCUCGGGCCUGCAGUGGGUACGGGCAGACUAGAGUGCGGUAGGGGAGAUUGGAAUUCCUGGUGUAGCGGUGGAAUGCGCAGAUAUCAGGAGGAACACCGAUGGCGAAGGCAGAUCUCUGGGCCGUAACUGACGCUGAGGAGCGAAAGGGUGGGGAGCAAACAGGCUUAGAUACCCUGGUAGUCCACCCCGUAAACGUUGGGAACUAGUUGUGGGGUCCAUUCCACGGAUUCCGUGACGCAGCUAACGCAUUAAGUUCCCCGCCUGGGGAGUACGGCCGCAAGGCUAAAACUCAAAGGAAUUGACGGGGACCCGCACAAGCGGCGGAGCAUGCGGAUUAAUUCGAUGCAACGCG